rnacentral:rRNA from 1 species
GCCUAAUACAUGCAAGUCGAGCGAACUGACGAGGAGCUUGCUCCUUUGACGUUAGCGGCGGACGGGUGAGUAACACGUGGGUAACCUACCUAUAAGACUGGAAUAACUCCGGGAAACCGGGGCUAAUGCCGGAUAACAUAUCGAACCGCAUGGUUCGAUAGUGAAAGACGGUCUUGCUGUCACUUAUAGAUGGACCCGCGCCGUAUUAGCUAGUUGGUGAGGUAACGGCUCACCAAGGCAACGAUACGUAGCCGACCUGAGAGGGUGAUCGGCCACACUGGAACUGAGACACGGUCCAGACUCCUACGGGAGGCAGCAGUAGGGAAUCUUCCGCAAUGGGCGAAAGCCUGACGGAGCAACGCCGCGUGAGUGAUGAAGGUCUUCGGAUCGUAAAGCUCUGUUGUUAGGGAAGAACAAAUGUGUAAGUAACUGUGCACAUCUUGACGGUACCUAACCAGAAAGCCACGGCUAACUACGUGCCAGCAGCCGCGGUAAUACGUAGGUGGCAAGCGUUAUCCGGAAUUAUUGGGCGUAAAGCGCGCGUAGGCGGUUUUUUAAGUCUGAUGUGAAAGCCCACGGCUCAACCGUGGAGGGUCAUUGGAAACUGGAAAACUUGAGUGCAGAAGAGGAAAGUGGAAUUCCAUGUGUAGCGGUGAAAUGCGCAGAGAUAUGGAGGAACACCAGUGGCGAAGGCGGCUUUCUGGUCUGUAACUGACGCUGAUGUGCGAAAGCGUGGGGAUCAAACAGGAUUAGAUACCCUGGUAGUCCACGCCGUAAACGAUGAGUGCUAAGUGUUAGGGGGUUUCCGCCCCUUAGUGCUGCAGCUAACGCAUUAAGCACUCCGCCUGGGGAGUACGGUCGCAAGACUGAAACUCAAAGGAAUUGACGGGGACCCGCACAAGCGGUGGAGCAUGUGGUUUAAUUCGAAGCAACGCGAAGAACCUUACCAAAUCUUGACAUCUUUUGACCACUCUAGAGAUAGAGUUUUCCUCUUCGGAGGACAAAUGACAGGUGGUGCAUGGUUGUCGUCAGCUCGUGUCGUGAGAUGUUGGGUUAAGUCCCGCAACGAGCGCAACCCUUGAGCUUAGUUGCCAUCAUUAAGUUGGGCACUCUAAGUUGACUGCCGUGACAACCGGAGAAAGGUGGGGAUGACGUCAAUCAUCAUGCCCCUUAUGAUUUGGGCUACACACGUGCUACAAUGGACAAUACAAAGGGCAGCGAAACCGCGAGGUCAAGCAAAUCCCAUAAAGUUGUUCUCAGUUCGGAUUGUAGUCUGCAACUCGACUACAUGAAGCUGGAAUCGCUAGUAAUCGUAGAUCAGCAUGCUACGGUGAAUACGUUCCCGGGUCUUGUACACACCGCCCGUCACACCACGAGAGUUUGUAACACCCGAAGCCGGUGGAGUAACCAUUGGAGCUAGCCGUUCGAAGGGGACAAA